AGUGAACGCUGGCGGUAGGCCUAACACAUGCAAGUCGAACGGCAGCACAGUAAGAGCUUGCUCUUACGGGUGGCGAGUGGCGGACGGGUGAGGAAUACAUCGGAAUCUACUUUUUCGUGGGGGAUAACGUAGGGAAACUUACGCUAAUACCGCAUACGACCUACGGGGGAAAGCAGGGGAUCUUCGGACCUUGCGCGAUUGAAUUAGCCGAUGUCGGCUUAGCUAGUUGGCGGGGUACAGGCCCACCAAGGCGAGGAUCCGUAGCUGGUGUGAGAGGAUGAUCAGCCACACUGGAACUGAGACACGGUCCAGACUCCUACGGGAGGCAGCAGUGGGGAAUAUUGGACAAUGGGCGCAAGCCUGAUCCAGCCAUACCGCGUGGGUGAAGAAGGCCUUCGGGUUGUAAAGCCCUUUUGUUGGGAAAGAAAAGCAGCAGGUUAAUACCCCGCUGUUCUGACGGUACCCAAAGAAUAAGCACCGGCUAACUUCGUG
rnacentral:rRNA from 1 species